ensembl:lncRNA
GUUUUGUAUUGAGAAAAUAGGACCAGUUUAGGGAUUAGGAAGAUUUAGUUACAGUACCAAAUGGCCACUAAUUUGAUAAGUGACCUUAGGAAAAUCAUUUGGUCUUCCUGGGGUUGUUUAUUAAUCUGUAGAAUGAGAGGUGUGGAAAGUCCUUUCCAGUUCUGUUUUCUAAUUGAUAACAUAGAAUUUUUCUUACAGUGAGGUGUACACAGAUUACAAAUGAUCAGUGUUGCUUUCAAAAUAUGAAUUGGUCUUUUAACUAGGCAAAGCUGAGAUUUUGGAAAGGAGGGCCGCCCGAUGAUGAGAUACAUAGAGAAAGAUGAUUUUCGCAAGACAAAUAGAGCCAUAAAUAAAUGAUUUAAUGUUGUAAGUCAAUGAACAAAGCAGAAAAGUGGAAUUGAAGUUAGGUAGAUGCAAGGCACAGGGCAUUUAAGGGUUUCUGCAGAUCAAAUGCUGCAUGGAACAUCUUGGCGUGAAGAAAAGGGAGGGCGAGGCAGGAGAUCAGCCACUGAUUCUAUUAUAAGGCUGCUUCUCUUGGUGAAGGGAACCAGGUGAUCAGCAGCAGCCCCCAGAGCUGCCACAGCAGCCCCCAGACUGUUGGCCGUGCCCACUGCCACUGUCACAGCAGUCAGACCUCUGGUGCCUGCGUCUGUGGGAUCUCCUGUGAUGGGAAAAGAGGCAGCAGCCACCCCCGGAGCCAGAGCUGCAGCACCCCCCAGAGCUGGACCCACAGCAUCCCCCAGAGCUGCAGCAUCCUCCAGAGCUAGAGCCACAGCAGGAAGAGACUGGAGGAGGGCAGGGAGCCUGGGGAGGGCACUUGGGGGGACACUUUGGUGGGCAUUUGGGUGGGCAUUUAGGGGUCUGACACUUGGGAGGACACUUAGGGGGGCAUUUAGGGGCUUGGCACUGCUGCUGGCUUUGCUGGCAGGACAUCUUGGUGGGAGUUCAGUAAACCUGAAAGACACAUAAAAUUCUUUUCAGAUGGAUGAAAUAGAGUCUUAAAAGCUUUCUUUAUCUGGAAUUGUUCCACAAUGUGAUCAUGAAUUUUACCUAAAAGACAUCAUUAUCCAGAAAGAAAAGGCUUAACAAAAUCGUUCCUGUAUUAAAAUGCAUUUGAGUUAGAAUUUGUGUUGAAGGAACAUUCGUUUUACAUUAACUUAGGAGAUUAUCACCAGUUUCUCUCUGUCUCUGUCUCUGUCUCUCUCUGUCUCUCUCUGUCUCUGUCUCUCUCUCUCUCUGUCUCUCUCUCUCCUCCCCCACUCUCUCUUUCCCCCUCUCUUUGUAUUUAUGCGUGCAUGUAUACUUAUGUACCUGUUGGGAAUUACCAAACUAGAAAAAUUUUGUAGAGUCUUAAAGGUUUAAUAAUAUUAUUUCUGUCCUAUGAAAGAGAGGGAAUGACUUCCCUCUACAUCCUGAAGACGCCUUUUGAAUUCCAGUUCAUCUAAGUUUCCAGAGACUUAGAUCAUUGCUCCCCCUCCCUACCACCUUCACACAGACACCAGGCCCUUUUCUGGUUUUUUCUAGAGACAUCCCACUGGAGUCUAUAUCUGUCUAGAAUAAACCCAAAGUACAAGCAUCUACUUUUCGUCA